UUUAUUAUUAUGAGUAGUUAAACCCUUCAAUGUUAGGGGUGUCCCUGCUCUUGAAUUUGUUGAUGAUUUUGAAUUAAACCUUGUAGUGACCUAUAUUUCCUAUUUAUCUGAUUUACUUUUAUCUGAGUUUAAUGCUUUAUCUUUUAUUGAGAAUUGAUUUUAAGUUAGGCAAAACAAGCAGUCGCCAUAUUCAGCGUCGCAAGUAAAACUUUUU
rnacentral:lncRNA from 1 species